rnacentral:rRNA from 1 species
UUUGAUGGCGACCGGCGCACGGGUGAGUAACACGUAUCCAACCUGCCGAUGACUCGGGGAUAGCCUUUCGAAAGAAAGAUUAAUACCCGAUGGCAUAGUUCUUCCGCAUGGUAGAACUAUUAAAGAAUUUCGGUCAUCGAUGGGGAUGCGUUCCAUUAGGUUGUUGGCGGGGUAACGGCCCACCAAGCCUUCGAUGGAUAAGGGUUCUGAGAGGAAGGUCCCCCACAUUGGAACUGAGACACGGUCCAA